rnacentral:rRNA from 1 species
UGUAUACAAAUUUAUAACAAAACAAAACUUUCAACAACGGAUCUCUUGGCUCUCGCAUCGAUGAAGAACGCAGCGAAAUGCGAUACGUAAUGUGAAUUGCAGAAUUCAGUGAAUCAUCGAAUCUUUGAACGCACCUUGCGCUCCUUGGUAUUCCGAGG